UUUCCGUAGGUGAACCUGCGGAAGGAUCAUUAAUAACUUAGUGUUUUAUGGCACUUUUUCAAAAUCCAUAUCCGCCUGGUGUGCAACGUUACAACUCGACCAGCAUCGCGAGGUUUUUAUACAUCAACUCAUUCUUUAACUAAUUUGUCUGAAAAAUAUUAUGAAUACUUAAUUCAAAAUACAACUUUCAACAACGGAUCUCUUGGCUCUC
rnacentral:misc_RNA from 1 species